GUGGGGAAUAUUGGACAAUGGGGGAAACCCUGAUCCAGCGACGCCGCGUGGGUGAAGAAGGCCUGCGGGUUGUAAAGCCCUUUCGGUAGGGACGAAAACUCUUGCUCUAACAGAGCAGGAGCUUGACUUAACCUACAUAAGAAGCACCGGCUAACUCUGUGCCAGCAGCCGCGGUAAUACAGAGGGUGCGAGCGUUAAUCGGAAUUACUGGGCGUAAAGCGCACGUAGUCGGCUUGUCAAGUCGGGUGUGAAAUCCCCGGGCUCAACCUGGGAACUGCAUCCGAAACUGACUUGCUAGAGUAUGGGAGAGGGAAGCGGAAUUUCUGGUGUAGCAGUGAAAUGCGUAGAUAUCAGAAGGAACAUCAGUGGCGAAGGCGGCUUCCUGGACCAAUACUGACGAUCAGGUGCGAAAGCGUGGGGAGCAAACAGGAUUAGAAACCCGAGUAGUCC
rnacentral:rRNA from 1 species